CGCCCCUUGAAAAGUUUCUUACAGAUAAGGGGUCCUGCCUGCCCGGUGACUUAGUUAAACGGCCGCGGUAUUUUGACCGUGCAAAGGUAGCAUAAUCAUUUGUCUCUUAAAUAGAGACUGGUAUGAAUGGCAAGACGGAAAUUAAGCUGUCUCUUUUUUAAUACUUUGAAAUUAAUAUUUUUGUGAAGAAGCAAAAAUUAUAUCGUAGGACGAGAAGACCCUAUCGAGCUAGAAGUUGAAUGGCAAGUGUACAAUCUAUCUUUAUUAACUAAUUUAGGUUUUUGCCGUAGUGUUUUUAUUGAUAAAGUUUUUAGGUGCGUUUAUGUUUGUUUUAUAAUUUUGAUUGGGGCAAUCACGGAGGAUAAGAAUCCUCCGUUACAAAGAAUAAAAUCAAAAAAUACUUUUUUGAUUUGAAGUAAUUUUUAUUAUUGUGUUUAUAUGAUCCACUUUUGGAGUGAACAAAGGAAAAAGUUACCGUAGGGAUAACAGCGUAAUUCUUUUGGAGAGUCCAUAUUGAUAAGAGAGUUUGCGACCUCGAUGUUGGAUCGAGAUUUCCAGGAGAUGCAGAAGUUUCCAAGGGUUGGUCUGUUCGACCAUUAAAAUCUU
rnacentral:rRNA from 1 species